rnacentral:ncRNA from 17 species
CCACCGAAUGAUCGCGCCGGUGCCCCGGAAGGGGCUUAAACGGGAAUGCGGUGCGGACGGGCCUUCCGUCCAAUUCCGCGGCUGUCCCUGCAACUGUAAGCGGCGAGCGCGAUGCACUUGCUCCCCGAUUCGAGGGAGCGGCCACUGGAUCGCCGAUCCGGGAAGGCCGUGCAUCGUGCCUUGACCCGCGAGCCAGGAGACCUGCCGGCGCAACGGUCGCUCUU